GGGUGGAGCCGAGGAGUCAGAAAUGUCCAUUUUUCCUCUUCUUUCUUCAUCUUUGUCUCACUCUUCAGCUCAUCUUCCCAUCAAUCAUCCUCUUCAGCUUUUUUUUUUUUUUUUGGAUUCUGACCGAGAGCAACAACAAGAACACAAUGGUUUGGACCUUUUUUUCUUUGUCCAAAAAUUUGGAAAUGUCUUCCAACAUUCAGCAUCCUGAUGAAAGUGAGAUUGUGUAAAUUUUUUUCCCCGGUGUAGAAGAAAUUAGAGUAUUACGGGUCUCCUCCGGCCUCAAGAGGGUUAAGAGAGGAUGCGAUGCUAUGAUUUCACUUUGAAAGUGUGAGAGCAUUGUAAUUCAUACCAUCAGUGGUGCAGAAGAAAUCAGAGUAUCAAGAGUCUCCUCCGGUCUCAAGAUCCUUAAGGUUUUGUCUGGCCAUGACAAGUUUCAUGAGAUCCAUGUUCUCGAUAGAGAGGGAUGCAACAAUUGAGGAGUUCUAUACUUGCUAAGAUUGAGGGUAAUAGGUUGUGACUUUAGUAUUUAUGUUCACUUGUAGGCUUUCUAUUAUUGAAAUUUGCAAAUUAUUUCUUGAUAAUCUUACGAAUUCAUCAACGUUUUGCAAAAUUAUUUUUCAAAGCUAUCUCUGGGGUGAAAAAAUAGCUGAAUGGCAUAUGAUUCAAGUUCAAGAUUCCAGUUUGUGGUCCAAAGAGCACGACCAGUCACCGUUGAAGCAACUGUUGGAAGCUCUAUUGCCUUACAGCAAUUUUUCAAAUCAUUUCCAGAUUUCAAUCUGGGAAGUGACAGACCAUUGAUUUACUUGCGUAAACCUCUUAAUUUUUUCUCAAUUGUUGGUUUUGGCUUUGAUUUCAAAAUUCUUUGUUUUGACAGACCAUCGAUUUCCUAUUCAGGAUUAUGGUAUGGUGGUGAUUUUUCUCUGUUUUCGUGACCAACUGGUUAUUCAAUGUUGAAAGAUUGCAUAGGGUUCAUAUAGAGUGGUUAAUUUUUGAGGUGGUUAGAUGAAAAGUCUGAGCUUUUGGAGGUUGAGAAAGGCAAAUGUUCCAUGACCUUAGAUGACUAUUAUAUUUUACAGUGAACGUUAUAGAUUGUUAAUGUUAUUUUCAAAAGACUGAGGCAAUCCUUUAUGGUUGGUUUGUGUUUUCCUGUGGAUUAGGUUAUAAUGAUAGCUGGAGCAUCUAGAUAUCUCGAGCCUUUUCAAUUUCAACGCUUUAUUAAGGUGGAAGAAGAGGAUGCCUGCAGCAAGUGAUAAGUGAUUAUGAUAUAGGCUUUGAGAUUCGACUCUGAUAACACUUCAGUAUUUGUGUUCACUUGUAGCUUUUCUAAUAUUGUUUGAUUUUUAAUUGUAGUAAUACCCUUUCAUAUUACAGCAAUUAUUUGAAAAUUGUAGUUCAUGGCAUUUUGCAGUCU